rnacentral:rRNA from 1 species
AGUGAACGCUGGCGGUAGGCCUAACACAUGCAAGUCGAACGGCAGCACAGUAAGAGCUUGCUCUUACGGGUGGCGAGUGGCGGACGGGUGAGGAAUACAUCGGAAGCUACUUUUUCGUGGGGGAUAACGGAGGGAAACUUACGAUAAUACCGCAUACGACCUACGGGUGAAAGCAGGGGAUCUUCGGACCUUGCGCGAUUGAAUGAGCCGAUGUCGGAUUAGCUAGUUGGCGGGGUAAAGGCCCACCAAGGCGACGAUCCGUAGCUGGUCUGAGAGGAUGAUCAGCCACACUGGAGCUGGGACACGGUCCAGACUCCUACGGGAGGCAGCAGUGGGGUAUGUUGGACAAUGGGCGCAAGCCUGAUCCAGCCAUACCGCGUGGGUGAAGAAGGCCUUCGGGUUGUAAAGCCCUUUUGUUGGGAAAGAAAAGCAGCAGGUUAAUACCCCGCUGUUCUGACGGUACCCAAAGAAUAAGCACCGGCUAACUUCGUG